rnacentral:rRNA from 1 species
AUUGAACGCUGGCGGCAGGCUUAACACAUGCAAGUCGAGCGGAGACUUCGGUCUUAGCGGCGAACGGGUGAGUAAUACCUAGGAAUCUGCCUAUUAGUGGGGGAUAACGAAUCGAAAGGUUCGCUAAUACCGCAUACGUCCUACGGGAGAAAGGGGGGGAUCUUCGGACCUCUCGCUAAUAGAUGAGCCUAGGCCGGAUUAGCUAGUUGGUAGGGUAAAGGCCUACCAAGGCGACGAUCUGUAGCUGGUCUGAGAGGAUGGCCAGCCACACUGGAACUGAGACACGGUCCAGACUCCUACGGGAGGCAGCAGUGGGGAAUAUUGGACAAUCGGGGCAACCCUGAUCCAGCCAUGCCGCGUGUGUGAAGAAGGCCUCGGUUGUAAG